rnacentral:rRNA from 1 species
GACGAACGCUGGCGGCGUGCUUAACACAUGCAAGUCGAACGGAGUGGCGAACGGGGGAGUAACACGUGGGUGAACUGCCUAGCACGUCGGGAUAAGCUAGGGAAAAUAGGUCUAAUACCGGAUAGGGAAAGAGGCGCUCGCGGCCAAUAAGCUUGUUGGUGGGGUAAUGGACUACCAAGGCGUCAACGGGUAGCCGGGCUGAUAGGGUGUACGGCCACAUUGGGACUGAGAUACGGCCCAGACGCGUACGGGAGGCAGCAGUGGGGAAUAUUGCACAAGGGGCGGAAGCCUGAUGCAGCGACGCCGCGUGGGGGAUGAAGGCCUUCGGGUUGUAAACUCCUUUCGACAGGGACGCGGUACCUGUAUAAGAAGCACCGGCUAACCCCGUGCCAGCCGCCGCGGUAAUUC